UUUCCUCCAGGUGGAGCCUAGCUUCUACCCCAGCGUAUUGCGUAGGCGCCGGCGCCUAGGGGUGCGGAGGCGGGGCGGUGCCUAAGGUGGAGGGGAAAGAGGAGGAGCGGAAACCAUGACAACACCCUUCACUGGGCCUUGCUGUACUCGGCCCCCCUGUUGCCCCUAGCAACUGGGAGACUUUGGCCAGCAAUAAUGCAGAGAUUGGAUAAGAUUGAGACUGAGCAAGGUUGAAUGACUUGGGAAAGAUCAUACAGCUACAUUGGAAACCAUAUAUAGAAACUUCUCAAUCAUCAAGAUGUGUACUGUUUACAGAAUCUUCCUCACAAUAGAAGACUGGUUCUACAAAACCUUGUACUUGGGAAACUCAUGAAGGAACACAUCAAGCCAGAACUAGCCAAGAAAUUUCCCCUUUUUUUGGAUAGAAGCCUGGAUCCCAGUAUCAUGCUGCCUUAACUAAUCCCUCUUCUCUAGCCAAAAAGUCACAUUCUUUGACAUGGAGCAGAAGCUGGGAAAAUUAGAAUAGAUAUCAAUGUGAUGAAAUGAGAGGUGGAGAUUCACACUUUGUAUCUUUUGUAACAUCCAAUUAAUGGGGAAUCAGGGGAGGGACUUGCUUCAGAAUAAGAAAUAAAAGACUGCCUUUCCACUUUCAAAAAACGUGUACUUGUUCUUACAAGAAUAUAAAAUAAAAUCUUUCCAGCAUUCA